GCAGCCUUCGCCUCUUCAGUAGCUGGGUAACCAUAGUGAGAGGAGGUGCUGGCGGUGGACGGCGUGCACGAAGGUUUGAGCAAGGGAGGCAGCUCAAGGGCAAUGAAAAAAAAAAAAGCCUGCAUUGGAUCCUCGGUGCGAUGUGUAGCUCCUUACUCACCCUGUCGCGCCUUGAAACAGCAUCUUCUCUUAUCUAAUCAAGAAUGUCAUCAACAGAUUCAUGACGCCCUUUGGACACUGCUGCUGCCGCCGCCUUUCCCAAGCAUCUUUUCCAGUGUUCAUGGAGGAGCCUCGCCAAACCUUACUUCUUCCCCUUUGAAGCCAACUCAAGGCCACGGAUGUAUUUUUUUGGCAAAUGCCUCCCACAACCUCAGCACCAAUAAAAGCAUCUUACCUAAAAGAAGCUUGCCAAUGAAGGCCACUUGGUUCCCCUGCACCAGAACCUGUAUGGUGCCUUGGGGCUUAUGCUCAGCUGGGCCGACGCUCGUGCUGGCCGCUACGCCCACC